AACAUUGUGCUUGCACAGAUGACGACCGGCGCACGGGUGCGUAACGCGUAUAGAACCUACCUUUUACAGGGGAAUAGCCUUUAGAAAUGAAGAUUAAUGCCCCAUAGUAUUGAGACUUGGCAUCAGGUUUUAAUUAAAGAUUUAUCGGUAAAAGAUGGCUAUGCGUCCUAUUAGUUAGUUGGUAAGGUAACGGCUUACCAAGACAUCGAUAGGUAGGGGUCCUGAGAGGGAGAUCCCCCACACUGGUACUGAGACACGGACCAGACUCCUACGGGAGGCAGCAGUGAGGAAUAUUGGACAAUGGAGGCGACUCUGAUCCAGCCAUGCCGCGUGUAGGAAGAAUGCCCUAUGGGUUGUAAACUACUUUUAUACAGGAAGAAACACUGGUAUGUAUACCAGCUUGACGGUACUGUAAGAAUAAGGACCGGCUAACUCCGUGCCAGCAGCCGCGGUAAUACGGAGGGUCCAAGCGUUAUCCGGAAUCAUUGGGUUUAAAGGGUCCGCAGGCGGUCGAUUAAGUCAGAGGUGAAAUCCCAUAGCUCAACUAUGGAACUGCCUUUGAUACUGGUUGACUUGAGUCAUAUGGAAGUAGAUAGAAUGUGUAGUGUAGCGGUGAAAUGCAUAGAUAUUACACAGAAUACCGAUUGCGAAGGCAGUCUACUACGUAUGUACUGACGCUGAGGGACGAAAGCGUGGGGAGCGAACAGGAUUAGAUACCCUGGUAGUCCACGCCGUAAACGAUGGAUACUAGUUGUUGGGAUUUAUCUCAGUGACUAAGC
rnacentral:rRNA from 1 species